rnacentral:rRNA from 1 species
CCUACGGGGUGCAGCAGUGAGGAAUAUUGGUCAAUGGACGAGAGUCUGAACCAGCCAAGUAGCGUGAAGGAUGACUGCCCUAUGGGUUGUAAACUUCUUUUAUAUGGGAAUAAAACGUUCCACGUGUGGGAUUUUGUAUGUACCAUAUGAAUAAGGAUCGGCUAACUCCGUGCCAGCAGCCGCGGUAAUACGGAGGAUCCGAGCGUUAUCCGGAUUUAUUGGGUUUAAAGGGAGCGUAGGUGGAUUGUUAAGUCAGUUGUGAAAGUUUGUGGCUCAACCGUAAAAUUGCAGUUGAAACUGGCAGUCUUGAGUACAGUAGAGGUGGGCGGAAUUCGUGGUGUAGCGGUGAAAUGCUUAGAUAUCACGAAGAACUCCGAUUGCGAAGGCAGUUCACUGGACUGCAACUGACACUGAGGCUCGAAAGUGUGGGUAUCAAACAGGAUUAGAUACCCUGGUAGUC